rnacentral:rRNA from 1 species
GACGAACGCUGGCGGCGUGCUUAACACAUGCAAGUCGAACGAUGAAGGAGGAGCUUGCUCCUCUGGAUUAGUGGCGAACGGGUGAGUAACACGUGAGCAAUCUGCCCUUGACUCUGGGAUAAGCGCUGGAAACGGCGUCUAAUACCGGAUACGACCCUCGGAGGCAUCUCCUGUGGGUGGAAAGAACUUCGGUGGCAAGGAUGAGCUCGCGGCCUAUCAGCUUGUUGGUGAGGUAAUGGCUCACCAAGGCGACGACGGGUAGCCGGCCUGAGAGGGUGAGCGGCCACACUGGGACUGAGACACGGCCCAGACUCCUACGGGAGGCAGCAGUGGGGAAUAUUGCACAAUGGGCGCAAGCCUGAUGCAGCAACGCCGCGUGAGGGACGACGGCCUUCGGGUUGUAAACCUCUUUUAGCAGGGAAGAAGCGAGAGUGACGGUACCUGCAGAAAAAGCACCGGCUAACUACGUGCCAGCCGCCGCCGUAACAC